GGGAUUAGAUACCCCACUAUGCUUGGUAGUAAACCUUAAAUUACACCCCAAUCGCCUGGGAACUACGAGCAAAGCUUAAAACCCAAAGGACUUGACGGUACCCCAAAUCCACCUAGAGGAGCCUGUCCUAUAAUCGAUAAUCCACGCUUUACCUCACCACCUCUAGCUAAACAGCCUGUAUACCUCCGUCGUCAGCUUACCUCGUGAGCGAAAUAUAGUGAGCUUAAUGCUACUUCAUCAACACGUCAGGUCAAGGUGCAACUAAUGAGAUGGAAAGAGAUGGGCUACACUCCCUAACCUAGGAUACACGAAAAACUACCUAUGAAAUCUAGUUUGAAGGCGGAUUUAGAAGUAAAAAGAAACUAGAAUAUUCUUUUUAACUUGGCACUGGGGUGUGUACACACCGCCCGUCACCCUC
rnacentral:rRNA from 1 species